GGCCAUGUCUAUUCUACGGCCCGGCUCUGCUCCUGGCCCAGGCGCCCGUGUCCGGUGCGGUCCCAUACGAGAUGGGUUCUCUGCCUUCGGUGCGUGUCGGCGCCUCUGCCAAGGCGGAGCGGACGGCGAAAGGUAGACCCAGCGCAUCUCCAGCUUCACGAGACUCACGCGGCCUUCCGUGGGCCGUAAUCGUCUGUCUCCCUCUGUGGCCGAAGUGACACACCGAAGCGAAAAGGCCGAAAGCCAUCGUGACGUCGAGGCACAAGCUCCACUGUCCUAACAGUAGAGGUCGCAUGGAGUUCGUGAGACGGGCAUUAGCUGCCGCUGGAGCUGUACCCAGCCCACCGUAUUUUCACAAAUUAGCCAGACAAUACGCCUUCUCUUCGCAUCACUACUGGUCCGGGUCAGCCAUAAGAUCCUUCCUGUUAGGGACUUUUCUUUGAACUAAGAUGUAAUUAACGGGAUUCAUUACCCCUUUUAAGUUACCCUUGGUUUCUACGAGGGAUAACAGGUAAUAAGGACAAAGGGAAGUAAUGUAAAUUUUGUCAGUUUUAUUGAUUAUACACCCUCUAGGUGAAUUUUCUGUACCUGCGUUGCACGGUUGGAAGCCUUGUUUCCUGGCCUGCGAGUGCAAGUUUUGCUUUUGUUCUAUUCUUCAGCUUCCUGUGGAGAUUUUCAGAUACAAGCAAACAAAACAUUGCAUAACUCUGUGUGCAGCCCUUACCCGGAUGUGUGCAGCUUUAGGGUGUGCUUGGUAUGUCUCCUGCCUCCUCUUGGUUUGUGGGAGUCUUUCCUCCUAACAUAGUUUCAUAUGGGAGUGCCACGAUUUGGUAUUUAUUUCCAACGGGUAAAGGUUAUCACACCCACCAAAAAAUCUGCAAGGCUUUAUCCUCAAAGCAGUCUGUCUCAUGCGGAGUUUUUACUAAUGUGUCUCGGUGCUGCUCUAAACAAGGUCUGUAGACUUUACACUAUGAAUAACUUGAGAUUUAUAAAAAUGUUGUAAAGUUGAACCUCAGAGCCCUCAGUCCUCCCGGGUGCUAACGCCUUACAUAACCAUGAUAAACUGAGAAGAAAAGUGUUACUGGUGUGCAAGUAAAUGGGCAGCAGACUUAAUUAUGAUUUCAGUGUUUCUACUAAAGUCCUCUUACCAAUCCAGUAUCCCACAGUGUAUCUAGUCAUGUUUCCUCAGUUUCCCCAAGGCUAGGAUGGUUUCUCAGCCUUUUCCUUGUUUCAACCCCUUGACGUAAUUAUUGAGACCAUCAAUGAGGAUUCUCUGGGAAUAAUUCCCGCCUCCCCCACCUUGUCCUUGGCUCUUGAGUCUAGUCCCUUAUCUCACAGAAAGUCCUAUGCCUUGGAUAUGCCCGAUUUCUACCUUGUGAUUGGGGGAACUGUUUGUGUUGGUUUAUUUGUGGUUUGGUUGGUUGGUUGGUUGUUGUUGUUGUUGUUGUUUUAACAGGUGUUUCUUUGCUUUUCUCAAUGUCACAGCAGGAGGAACAGGAUAUCCAAAUGACCUCCUUGGAAAACAAUGGUUAAGGAGCACUGGGACUCUGACAGGACCUGGGUUCUCUCCGACCCCUUUAUUCCCCAUGCCCACUGCCCCACAUGUGUGUACACAUGUGCUUCUGCUUGUGAGCACGCAGGAGUUCAUUGUAGAGGGCAUCUCCCUUACCUGUUGUCUCUCUUUGAUUUAAAAAAAAAAAAUCUAUUCUUACAAACCCCUAUAUAUACAUGUUGCCUGACUUAAAGUCAGGUCUGGGUUACUGCCAUCAGUCCCAAUGUUCACAGAAAUGGGAAACGAGAGGGGUGGACCAGUGGGGACAACCUGUAACUUGGACUUCUUAGAUCACUCCUGUCCCUCCCAAGACACCUAGGACUCAUCGGGUCUAAUUUAGUCUAGGAGGUGUGUUUCUAGAUGCAUCCCUGGAGUACAGUGAAUGCAAGCCAAGAAAUAAUUUUUUCUUCCCAAUUUCAUGGUCUCAUCCUGACCUACAGCAGAUAAGUAAGGAUGAUUCCAUUUCUGUAUUCUCUCGAGCCCAUCCCCCUCUCCCUGCCGUAGAGUCGGGAGUACCCUUUUUUUUUUUUCUUCUCAAGACAGGGUUUCUCUGUAUCACCCUGGCUGUCCUGGAACUCACUCUAAAGUACCCUCUUAAUUAACCAUGCUUAGAGAGGAAUAAAAGGACAAGACCAGAGUUUCAGCUACCUUGGAUUCUGCACCGACUCAGGAUCACAGUCAGUUUGUGUGAGGUCACCAGUUUAUACCAAACAGGUUUCAAGGGGCCACGGACAGAACUGUCUUGGUCAGAAUCAGCUGAGUCUUGCAGACAUGAUUCUACUCCAGACCGUUUUGUCUCUAGAAGAGAAACUUGCAAACAUUCUGCCUUCCUUUUCUUUUCUUUGGGAAAGUAAAUGCUGUGUUAGAAGUUUGGACCAGAAUUCUCGGACUUCACCAUCUAUGGAUGCUUCGCUUUUGAUGUGUUUGCCUGUUUAUAAUCUAUUUUAUUUAUUUUGGAAGAUUUUCAUUAAUAAAAAGUAAUGAAGA
rnacentral:lncRNA from 1 species